ensembl:snRNA U6 U6 spliceosomal RNA
GUGCUCACUUCGGCAGCACAUAUACUAAAACUGGAAUGAUAGAAGAUUAGCAUGGCCCCUGCACAAGGAAGAUAUACACAAAUUCAAGAAGAGUUCCAUAUUUUU